rnacentral:lncRNA from 1 species
AGAAAAGAGAAAGAGAGAUAGAGAGAAAAGAAGAGGAAGAUAAGGAAGAAGAAGAGAAGAGAGAAGAAGAGAAGAGAGAAAAAGAAGAGAAAGAGAAAGAGAGAUUAAAAGAAGAGAGCAAGAGAGAAAAGAGGAAGAAAUAAAAGAAGAGAUAAGAAGACAAAACAUGUUGCACAAAGUUUAUUCAUAAGCAUUGCACAAAGGACAAAAAGAUGUUGUGUGAUAAGAAGAUAUUCGUAGAAUGUUUCCUCGAGCUUUUUACACUAAAAAGGCCAUACAGGCUACAUUUGAAAGAAAACACUGAUAAAGCAUUGUCACACUACAACGUAGACCCGAGUUUGACCAGCUACCUUUAAGG